rnacentral:rRNA from 1 species
UGCGUAGGCGGCUAUGUAAGUCAGGAGUGAAAGUUGCCCGCUAAACGGGUAACGUGCUUUUGAUACUGCAAAGCUUGAAUAAGGUUGAGGUUAGCGGAAUGUGGCAUGUAGCGGUGAAAUGCAUAGAUAUGCCAUAGAACACCAAUUGCGAAGGCAGCUGGCUAGACCUAUAUUGACGCUGAGGCACGAAAGCGUGGGGAGCGAACAGGAUUAGAUACCCUGGUAGUCC